rnacentral:rRNA from 1 species
GCUCAGGAUGAACGCUAGCGGCAGGCCUAAUACAUGCAAGUCGAACGAUACCAGGGGGCUUGCUCCCUGGAAAAGUGGCGCACGGGUGCGUAACGCGUAUGCAACCUACCUUUAUCAGGGGGAUAGCCCGGAGAAAUCCGGAUUAAUACCGCAUAAAAUCACAGGAUGGCAUUAUCCAAUGAUCAAACAUUUAUGGGAUAAAGAUGGGCAUGCGUGUCAUUAGCUAGUUGGCGGGGUAACGGCCCACCAAGGCGACGAUGACUAGGGGAUCUGAGAGGAUGGCCCCCCACACUGGUACUGAGACACGGACCAGACUCCUACGGGAGGCAGCAGUAAGGAAUAUUGGUCAAUGGGCGGAAGCCUGAACCAGCCAUGCCGCGUGCAGGAAGACUGCCCUAUGGGUUGUAAACUGCUUUUAUCCGGGAAUAAACCUGCUUACGUGUAAGUAGCUGAAUGUACCGGAAGAAUAAGGAUCGGCUAACUCCGUGCCAGCAGCCGCGGUAAUACGGAGGAUCCAAGCGUUAUCCGGAUUUAUUGGGUUUAAAGGGUGCGUAGGCGGCCUGUUAAGUCAGGGGUGAAAGACGGUAGCUCAACUAUCGCAGUGCCCUUGAUACUGAUGGGCUUGAAUAAACUAGAGGUAGGCGGAAUGAGACAAGUAGCGGUGAAAUGCAUAGAUAUGUCUCAGAACACCGAUUGCGAAGGCAGCUUACUAUGGUUUGAUUGACGCUGAGGCACGAAAGCGUGGGGAUCAAACAGGAUUAGAUACCCUGGUAGUCCACGCCCUAAACGAUGAACACUCGCUGUUGGCGGUACACAGUCAGCGGCUAAGCGAAAGCGUUAAGUGUUCCACCUGGGGAGUACGCCCGCAAGGGUGAAACUCAAAGGAAUUGACGGGGGCCCGCACAAGCGGAGGAGCAUGUGGUUUAAUUCGAUGAUACGCGAGGAACCUUACCCGGGCUUGAAAGUUAGUGAAUCAUUUAGAGAUAGAUGAGUGAGCAAUCACACGAAACUAGGUGCUGCAUGGCUGUCGUCAGCUCGUGCCGUGAGGUGUUGGGUUAAGUCCCGCAACGAGCGCAACCCCUAUGUUUAGUUGCCAGCAUGUAAUGAUGGGGACUCUAAACAGACUGCCUGUGCAAACAGAGAGGAAGGAGGGGACGACGUCAAGUCAUCAUGGCCCUUACGUCCGGGGCUACACACGUGCUACAAUGGAUGGUACAGAGGGCAGCUACAUAGCAAUAUGAUGCGAAUCUCACAAAGCCAUUCACAGUUCGGAAUUGGGGUCUGCAACUCGACCCCAUGAAGUUGGAUUCGCUAGUAAUCGCGUAUCAGCAAUGACGCGGUGAAUACGUUCCCGGGCCUUGUACACACCGCCCGUCAAGCCAUGGAAGCUGGGGGUACCUAAAGUAUGUAACCGCAAGGAGCGUCCUAGGGUAAAACCGGUAACUGGGGCU